UCCGAUAUCCAUUCGCUAUGGAAGUUCGAUCGAGGUCUAGUUUAUGCAAAAGGCUGAAAGGAGAUCGCUUAUUGUAGAAGCUCGAUCAAAGGUCGGUUGUCGUGGGAGCUAGGAGUAGCGAUCUGACCGGUGGGUCCUGUCCUGCUGUAGAAGCUCGUAUGGGAUCCGACUACGAAGAAGCUCGGCUGAAGUUUACCUGUAAUGGAAGUUCGGAAGAGGCAUGUUUACAGUAGGGGCUCGAAUGAAAUUUGCUUACAGUAGAGAUCCAGAGUAGAUCGCCCGCUGUAGGAGUUCGGAGUAGACCGUCUGCUGUAGGAGUUCAGAGUAAACUGCUCGUAGUAGAAGUUUGGCUCUCACAGGAGCCCGGUUAGAAUCUUGAAGGCGGUCGACCAUCGUAGAAACUUGGAUGGAGUCCGAUCUCUGUAGAAACUUCAUUGUCGAAGAAGCUCGGAUAUCGACGGAGUCCGAAAAGAGUUCGGAGAAUAGUUGGUCACUAUAGAAGGUCGGCUAACAGUGAGGCCUAGAGAGCCUUUGGAGCAGCACGGUAGAUGGAUAGAGAAGCUCAUUGUCGGAGAAGUCUGGAAGCUCGGACGGUCGGGGGGGUUCAGAGAGAUGCCACACAA
rnacentral:lncRNA from 1 species